GACAGUUCUAUCACAUAAAGAAGAAGGAGCAGAGUUUUUAAGAUAGUUAAUGACCUCCCCUCUUUUCUGAUGACAGGAAUUGCAGGAAGCAGAGCUUCUUGGGAGAAAAUAAUGUCACUAGGAACUCAAUUUGACUCGGUUGAUUCUACACUUGUGGUCCUGAGAGCCGGAAGAGAUGCUGUGGAAAGAAGUCACAAUAUUUUCUUUAAAGCAGCUGGGGAUAGCAGGAUAAGCCUCCAAUAUCCAAGAGCAAUGAUGUUGUAUUAUGGGGAUUGCAGCAUUGGCUUGGACAUUAAGUUCUCUUGA
rnacentral:lncRNA from 1 species